CGCAAAUUGCGCUCUUUGGUAUUCCGAAGAGCAUGCCUGUUUGAGUGUCAUAUAGUCUUCACCAAGAACGUUUGUUCGUACUUGGUGGUUUGGGCGUCUGCCAUUGUACGAGAUGGCUCGCCUUAAAUGCAUCAGUGGAAUACAAAAGCGUGAUAAGUCGUCGCAAACGUGCCCACUCUAAACCCCCCCUUUAUUAUUCUGACCUCAAAUCAGGUAGGACUACCCGCUGAACUUAA
rnacentral:misc_RNA from 1 species